rnacentral:lncRNA from 1 species
UUUGAAAAUAGGUACUUUGAAACUUAUGCAAUCUAUCACCCAAUAUCUUCAAUUACACCAAAGUAACACAUUGAUGUCAUAACAAGAUUUCUAUCCUUUGAGCUGGAGAAAUGCAUUGACUCAGGCACAACCAUUACUCCACUAUUUUGAGUGGUGUUUUUUUCAUGUUCUUUUUUUGUAUGAAUGGUAUAAUUGUUUAUAUUGUACUCACUCCAACGUAUGACAUCAACGUUUGGCGCACUUGGAGACAUCUCGGAGAAAAUAUUUAGUGGUUUCUAGUGGAAUGGAUGACUGAUCCUUGGGAGGUAUGAUACGUUUCCAAGCACAAACGUAAGGUUCCUCUAAUUCUUAGCCAAAACCAAACGUGAUGGCAACUUCCUUGGCAAGGUUGGGCCAAAGCUAGGAGAUGUGCAUGGAGGGGUGUUUCCUUGGAUGAAUAGUGCGGAAAUGUGGUGGUAAAUGGUCCAAGGAUGAUGAGUUAAGGUAUGGAUGGGGUAGAAGCUCAAAGCCUCUAGGAGAUAUGGUUGUGGUGGUGUAGUGUUUGGUGGCUCCAAGAAAGGUUAGGUCAACUUAAGGAGGAAGGUGACUAGAAGGGCCUCUAGGGUUGUUCUAGUCUUGAUCAAGGAAGAGUAUGACCAUAAUUUGGCAGCAUAACACUACUUAAUUCCAAGAUGAAAUAGAAGGGUGGAGACAUCUCUAUUUAUAGGCCGAGGGUGUCUCCUACUAACCCUAAAAGCAUGAUCUCCCACAUUUUCUCUCAUAGGCAAAAAAUGAGGCCUUCUAACCUCUCCAAUGAUGGGAGGACAUGGGACCACACCCAAAACACAAUCCUAUCCAUUCCUAGAGUACCAUGUGGCCACUACUAAAAGUAAAUCCUCUCCACUCCUUGGGUGCCAUGUGGCUACCUUUUAAAAAACAUAUCCUCUCCAAUGAAAGCAUGACACAAGGCACACACUUUCCACUUGGUUUGGAUAUAUAACUUAGGGAAAAUCCUAUGCUACUUAGGCUUUAAUACAAGCCUUAAUCAAACCUACAUUACAUGGCCAAAUACAAGGCCUAAAUCCUAUACUACUCUUCAAUCCAUGCUUUAUGAUGGCUCUAAUAGUGGUCCACAAGGUAGAGUUGACACCAU